rnacentral:sRNA from 1 species
GAUCUCAAGCUGUGAGGGCCUCAGAGGAGAGGGACAGCCCAGAGAAGGCUGGUGGGGCAAUAACUAAGUAAAGACUGGUGACCUCGGAGUCAACACAUCUCAAAGAGCUGGCAGAAUAACUUCCACCUAUCACAAGGACAGUGUCAGCAGGUAAUCAUGGGGUAGGUGGCUACCAUGGACAUCGGAGGCCCCAGAGCAAGAGGUGGUGUACCAGAUACAUCACAUGCAUUAUCUCAUUGCUGUCAAGCGGCACUUGUGACGAAUCGAUCUGAAUGUAUUGAGGCGAAUGACAUAGCCACACAGAAUACCAUGUGGAAGAAAGGAACAGAGCCAAGUCGUUCUGGAAACAGAAUCCCAACCCAACCUGGAAUUGUAUUGAAUCUGUGGAUCACUUUGGACAAGUAUGGAUAUCUUAAUAUGAAUCUACCAAUCAAAAAUACAGAAUGUCUCCCUACCCAACAAUGUCUGCCAGCAACAUUUUAUGGUUUUUAGUGUGUCUCUUGAAAUAUGAGAAGGAAAAAUUUUGGAAAUUUUAUCAUAAUUAAGUUUUUGUCUUAAUUAGGGUUAUAUUGCUGUGAAGAGACACCAUGACCAAGGCAACUCUU